GGCCGGCUGUGCUGCUGCCUCACCGGGCUGGGGCCGUGGGGGUCAGGCCAGAGGGCCUCUCAAAGCCCAGGCCUCCUCCGCCUGGAGGAACGGCCUCACUUUCUUUAAUUUUAUACCCGCUGUAAAAUCAAUUCCAAAUAAUAAUAUCUAACCUAUUAUUGACACUUUAUCCUGUGGGGAAUAGCUGGGUUUGACUAUUAUAAGCAACCACUGAUUUUCCCCAGGCCCUCAGGGCCUCCUGUUGUGACUGAGGCAAAUGUUGCUAAUAAACGCCUCCUUCAAAGUGACUUUUCCAGCUGAAUCAGAGGGAUUCCAGUCACCCAUUUGAUGGAACUUUAACCAGAAACGUGUUGGACAAAUUAAAUACGGCAGCCUAACGUGUGGAGUUCAAUAUGUCAAGACACGGGUACUGGAAUGGUUUAAAGAAGGAAGAAGAGAGAAGAAGAAUGGGAGGGAAAGGGUCCUACUGUUCACAUAUGAUUUCAAUUGCUAUGGUCUCCAACAGAUGGACUGUGAAGCUCUACAGUAUUCAAUCUUUAUACCUAAGAAUAACAAGAAAAAGAGAUGAUUCUGCUGUGCAGUACCGUUCCGUUCCAGUGUGUCUCAGUACUUAACUAUGGUGCUUAUCUGAGCCAAGUCUUUGUUAGUGGCUGUUGCAGCUGCCUCAUAACUCAGCAUGACUGAAGCUCCAUCCGGAGUUUGCGGCAUCUCUGAUCAGUGUCCCUGCUCGUCCCCUUUGACCCAUCCAACUGCGCUUGUCUGCUUGAGAUCAUGUCUGGUCUGGCUGCUGUGUCUCUGUCUUCUCCUGAUUUCUCUUCUACCUCCCUGUUUAUUCCCUCAGCACAUCUUACAAACAGAUCCUCUCCAAUUCCCUCCUCCUUGUCUGUGGGGGUUUUGUGCCUCAGAUUUCCUCCUUUUUAUUCUAUGUCUUAACGUUGUAUAAUAUCUCAACAGGACAUACAGUUGUCCCUGUUAGCCCAGACUGAAAUCUUUGUCAUUCUCCAUUAGCUACCUUUCUUAAAUGCUUUACCACCAACUUGGCUCAACCUCUCAGUUCCUCUUUUCCUCUGCUGCAGUUAUUGUACAAGCUGCACUGCUCUAUCGCUGCUCUCAUACUGCUACCAAAUGGGUCUCAUUCAUUUCCUUGUGAAGGCAUCUUUCCCUGCUGGAUUUCCAAGCAAAUAUCUUCUGCUUUCUGCUAAGUUGUCCUCCAUGUUUGGAGGGAUCUCCCCAUGGGUUAGGAAAGACACUUCAAAACUCUUCUUUAGCCUCUUCUUUGCCAUGAGGUCUACAGAAAUACUGCAAAUAAAUAUGUUGAUGAUGCAGUGAAAUGACCGAUCAUACUGUUGACUAGUCUUAGUUUCUUUUGUUGUUGUUGUAUUAUCUAUUUGUCUAUACUUGGGGGUAGCAGAUAUAUAGUUCAUCUUUGUUUGACACCUGAGAUCCCUGAUUUUGACUG